rnacentral:rRNA from 1 species
CAAUAGCGUAUAUUAAAGUUGUUGCAGUUAAAAAGCUCGUAGUUGGACCUUGGACCUGGACAGGCGGUCCGCCUCACGGCGUGUACUGUCUUGCUGGGUCUUUCCUCUUGGUGAUCUGUUGUUUCGGCAGCAGGGAACCAGGACUUUUACUCUGAAAAAAUUAGGGUGUUCAAAGCAGGCUCGACGCCGGAAUAUAUUGGCAUGGAAUAAUAAAAUAGGACGUGCGGUUCUAUUUUGUUGGUUUUUGGAAUCGCCGUAAUGAUUAAUAGGGACAGUCGGGGGCAUUAGUACUCACAUGCUAGAGGUGAAAUUCUUGGAUUUUGUGAAGACUAACUUCUGCGAAAGCAUUUGCCAAGGAUGUUUUCAUUAA